CUGGUUUCUAUCUAAGUAACUCUGCAGCAGAGGGAGAAGACGGUUGUUCACAGUGUCCAAAGGGGCACUACUGUGAUACUUCCGGUUUGGAGAAGCCCAAACUUUGUCCUAAGGGCUUCUAUUGUCCUGAGAGCAGCGAGAAGCCACAGCCAUGUGAACGUGGAACGUACAGUAACAGUGUGGGCCUUGGAGCAUCAUCCACUUGCACACCAUGUGGAGGAGGCCAGUACUGCGCUGAUGUGGGUCUGACACAGCCCACUGGUUACUGCAAGGCUGGGUUCUACUGCAGAGAAGGAGCAGCCACUGCAGUACACUGACACAGAUUCAGCAAGAACAUACGCAGGAAAACCUUCUUCCCUUAUUGAUU